UACAGAGGGGGCAAGCGUUAUUCGGAAUUAUUGGGCGUAAAGGGCUCGUAGGUGGCCAACUAAGUCAGACGUGAAAUCCCCCGGCUUAACCUGGGAACUGCGUCUGAUACUGGAAGGCUUGAGGAUGGGAGAGGGAUGUAGAAUUCCAGGUGUAGCGGUGAAAUGCGUAGAUAUCUGGAGGAAUACCGGUGGCGAAGGCGGCAUCCUGGACCAUUACUGACGCUGAGGCGCGAAAGCUAGGGGAGCAAACGGG
rnacentral:rRNA from 1 species